UGGGGGAUAUUGCACAAUGGGCGAAAGCCUGAUGCAGCAACGCCGCGUGAGGGAAGACGGUCUUCGGAUUGUAAACCUUUAGCUUUGGGGAAGAAACAAAUGACGGUACCCAAAGGGGCAGCCACGGCUAACUACGUGCCAGCAGCCGCGGUAAUACGUAGGUGGCAAGCGUUGUACGGAAUUACUGGGUGUAAAGGGCGCGCAGGCGGGGAGACAAGUCAGCUGUGAAAACUAUGGGCUUAACCCAGAGAUUGCAGUUGAAACUGUUUGGCUUGAGUGGAGUAGAGGUAGGCGGAAUUCCGAGUGUAGCGGUGAAAUGCGUAGAUAUUCGGAGGAACACCAGUGGCGAAGGCGGCCUACUGGGCUCUAACUGACGCUGAGGCUCGAAAGUGUGGGGAGCAAACA
rnacentral:rRNA from 1 species